rnacentral:rRNA from 1 species
UACAGAGGGGGCAAGCGUUGUUCGGAAUUACUGGGCGUAAAGGGCGCGUAGGCGGCCUGUUAAGUCGAACGUGAAAUCCCCGGGCUCAACCCGGGAACUGCGUCCGAUACUGGCAGGCUUGAAUCCGGGAGAGGGAUGCGGAAUUCCAGGUGUAGCGGUGAAAUGCGUAGAUAUCUGGAGGAACACCGGUGGCGAAGGCGGCAUCCUGGACCGGCAUUGACGCUGAGGUGCGAAAGCGUGGGGAGCAAACAGG